AGUUAUUAUUGUUUAAGCGAUGGGGUGUAUAAGUAGUAUUGGGAAUCGCACGAAUGGAUAUGUGCGUCCAAGCUGUGAGUGUGAGAAGUAGGCAAUUCCGCUUCUCGCGAAGCUUGAGCUGUGUUGGGGAAGGAAAUUUAGUACGGAAGUUCCUGAUUUCUCGCUGUCAAGAAAAGCCUCUAGGAUGAGUUGUACUGCCCGUUCCGCAAACCGACAAAGGUUGAUGAGGUGAGAUUCCUAAGG
rnacentral:rRNA from 1 species